UACAGAGACUGCAAGCGUUAUUCGGAUUCACUGGGCGUAAAGGGUGCGCAGGCGGCCAAGUGUGUGAGGCGUGAAAGCCUGGGCUUAACUCCAGAAUUGCACCUCAAACUACAUGGCUAGAGCAUUGGAGAGGGUAGCAGAAUUCACGGUGUAGCAGUGAAAUGCGUAGAUAUCGUGAGGAAUACCAGAGGCGAAGGCGGCUACCUGGACAAUUGCUGACGUGAGG
rnacentral:rRNA from 1 species